rnacentral:rRNA from 1 species
UACGUAGGGGGCAAGCGUUGUCCGGAAUCAUUGGGCGUAAAGAGCGUGUAGGCGGCCUGGUAAGUCCGCUGUGAAAGUCCAGGGCUCAACCCUGGAAUGCCGGUGGAAACUGUCAGGCUCGAGUCCGGAAGAGGCGAGUGGAAUUCCUGGUGUAGCGGUGAAAUGCGUAGAUAUCAAGAGGAACACCUGAGGUGAAGACGGGUUGCUGGGCUGAUACUGACGCUGAGGCGCGAAAGCUAGGGUAGCAAACAGG